rnacentral:rRNA from 1 species
GAUGAACGCUGGCGGCGUGCUUAACACAUGCAAGUCGAACGGAAAGGCCCUGCUUUUGUGGCUUGCUCGAUUGGCGAACGCGUGAGUAACACGUGAGUAACCUGCCCCUGACUUUGGGGUAACUUCACGAAACUGGGGCGCUUACCGCAGAGGAGCUAUUGCUGCGUGUGGUGGGAUAGAGAGUUUCGGCCGUUGGGGAUGGACUCGAUGGUUAUCCGCUUGUUGGUGGGGUAGUUGCGGUCGAAGGCUGCGACGGGUAGGCUGCCUGAGAGCGUUACCGGCCACCUUGGGACUGCGAGACGGCCCAGACUCCUACGGGACGCAGCAGUGGAGAGUAUUGCACAGUGGGCGGGAGCCAGAUGCAGCAACGCCGCGUGCGGGAUACCGGCCUUCGGGUGAUAAACAACUUUCGCCGGUGACAAAGCGUGAGUGACGGUAAUGGGUAAAGAAGCACCGGCUAACUACGUG